rnacentral:rRNA from 1 species
CGACGUGAGGAACCUGCCUUGGAGGGGGGAAUAACACUCCGAAAGGAGUGCUAAUACCGCAUGAUGCAGUUGGGUCGCAUGGCUCUGACUGCCAAAGAUUUAUCGCUCUGAGAUGGCCUCGCGUCUGAUUAGCUAGUAGGCGGGGUAACGGCCCACCUAGGCGACGAUCAGUAGCCGGACUGAGAGGUUGACCGGCCACAUUGGGACUGAGACACGGCCCAG